GAAGCAAUUCAGCAAACGUGUGAAUUAUAUGAUGAAAUGGCAAAACAAUUUCAACUGGUGUCUAGCUAAUCUUUCUAAUCUCAGUCAAAAGAAAUAUCAGAAUAGAGUUGUGUUUUGACAAAAUUGUUUUCUGUGUCCUAAGACUAAUUCAUUUUAUAUUGUAGAAUGGCAUAUAACGCCACCUUUAGAGUGUCCUAGUGUGCUUCAUUUUGUCUUUCCUUGAU
rnacentral:lncRNA from 1 species